ensembl:misc_RNA Metazoa_SRP Metazoan signal recognition particle RNA
GCCAGGCGUGGUGGCGCGCGCCUGUAAUCCCAGCUACUCAGGAGGCUGAGGCAGAAGGAUCGCUUGAACCCGGGAGGUGGAGGUUGCAGUGAGCUGAGAUCUCCACUGCACUCCAGCCUGGGCAACAAAGCGAGACUUGGUCUCGG